CGCCGGAGUCCGCGUCCCCCGCACGCCGCCGCCGCCGCAGUCCGCGCCAGAUUCCGCGCGGGCUCCGGGCGGACGACGCCAGCCCUCACGCCGCCGCCGCCGCCGCAGCCUCUCCCGCGACAUCCGUCCUCGCCUCCCACCCCCCCACCCCCCGGGCCCUCGCCAUCACAGUCGCCGUCUCGCUGCCUUGGAUUGACACCGCUGUCCCCGCCACGUACAGAUCGCCGCCGCGCCGCCUCGGGUCGACAUCGCCAUACCCGCCACGUCCAGAUCAGCGAGCAGGCCUCACCGCCUCAACGCCCGCUGCCAUCCCAGCAGCGUCCGGAUCGCUGGCGUCACACCGCCGCACACUGGAACCGCUGACCUCCAAUCGCGUGGAUCGACGGGCCGGCGCGGCGCACCGCCGCUCGCGGCGCAUGGAUCCCAAUCUCUCUCCGCUCCCGGUCGACCACCCAACGACGCCGGCCCGCGAACCCGCAAUCGCCGACCUCCAGGCUCCAAUCGUGCGGAUCGGAGGGCCUCCGCUCACCGCGGAUCUCUGCGCUAUCUCCGCCCACGGUCGUCACCGUUCUGUGCCCCGGUGACCUCAUCUUCAACUUCCCACAGGGCCACAUCGAGCAGGUACUCGCUUUCACCAAGCCGCCUCCGCUUUCCCCUGCACUGUGAGUCUGAUCCUCUUGCCGCCCUCCUCGAUGAAGACACCUCCAGCUCUAGGUACGCUCCCCUGAUCCCAUCCUUCCCUUCUCUCACGGAUGUGAUUAAGUUCUUACUAAUUUCGGGGGACGAGGACGCCAGCGCCACCAAAGUGAAAUAGGCAAGGGCGGCCGGCCAUGGUGGUCUGCGCUGCCAUGGACAAGACGAGGGCUCCAUCCUCUCCGCGGCACGCGUGCCCCUGCGACUUGAUAUUGGAGCACCUCUCUCUUUCUGAUUUGGGAGACAUGGAGAUGGAGUGGUGGUGGAGCUGCCGCUUAAAUCGUCGGGAGACGAUGAGUUGACGUGUUGCUGCUGCUGAUAUGCGUGCUCGAGAGGAGCUUCUGCUUGCUUGCUUGCAGUGAUGGUGGAAGAGAGAAGCUUGAGUGGCCGCAUGUUGGGUCCGUGAAGAGCAGAGAUUGGGAUGGUUGAAGGCAACGUGUAAAUAGUCUUUUCCAAAACACAGUGGAAUUGUCGAAGAUGAUUGGAGCCUUGGAUGGAAAUGAGAACAUUAUGAUCGAGGCCAAUUUUUUUGUACUUGUACACCCGGCUGAAGGAAUUGGUCAUUCGAUAGGAUGAAGACCAUUGCAAAAAUUCCUGCCCCGUCCUAUUCUCCCACCAGCGUCAAUGGGUGUUCUGCUGGAUCGAGCACUAAUGAGGUGAUCCUCUCACCUGUUCUUGCACUGCAUCAACAAAUGCUACCAGGUGAGGCAUCGGUUUCCUCUAUUUUGACCUGCUAUGGAUCAAAGGGUGCUAUACAUUGUUCAGCAUAUAAUGACUGACAUAGAAAUUUAGUUGACAUCCAACUGAAUCCUUGGAUCCAUAUAUAGAAAGAAAUAAAAAUCAAAUUUUUGUGUCAAUAUUUGUAUGGACUAAAAUAUCCGAAAUAUAGCUGCUUUGUCUUGUGCUCCAGAUUGUCAAAACAGUGGGAAGGAAAUACGGCUUCGAGCAUGCUUGCAGGUAAUAUGCAUGCUCCACAGACUCUCCUGCCAUCUUUAUUCUUUAGUAUUUCACCAUCUCUUUAUUUUUCAUUGUUGUCCUGUUGAUCUUGUCUUUAAAAAUAACAGUUAGACAACAUCAAACAGCUUUGGAAUAGCAUGGAUUGAGAUGGUGAUCUGUGGUUUUUCUCUUUCUAUUGUGCAAUGCUCAUUUUCCUAACUAAGUACUCAUGUUAGUCUACUUUACUGAUUCUCAACUGAUUUGCAAAAUCAUAUGGUUUAUGCCUCAAAAGAGCUCAUAUGGGCAUAUGGCAUUAUACUAUAUGAUUAGAUUGCUGAUACCUUUUUAUUGUCUCCCAACGAAAUUGUGUGUUCUUGGUUUACGAAACUUUGCUACUAAAGGAAUCAUACAUUAUUUGUCAUGCUAUUUUAAUACUAGACCUCCCUGUGAGCACUGGGGAGCAGUGGCAGAGCAGGGCCAUCGUCAGGUGCGGAGCAGGAGAGCGGGGGGUCGCCAAGUUGUGCGGGAAAACAAUGGGAGCCUUUGUUUGAUUAAAUUCAUUUUGUAGUAUACCGGAUCUGAAGAAUUAAAAUGUUCAAAUUU